UUUUUUACUUUUAAUUACUGUACAUAAAUUGUUUUGCCUCAUAUUUUGUCCAAUGUAUUUGAAAGUUUUAUUUAUUUGAAUGUCUACUGCUUUGAUAUUGUGUUUCCCCAGUCUUUUUAUUAUUGAAUUCGUUCGUAUGUAUGUUGUUGUUAUAGGCCAUUAUUAUUAUUAUAAUAUUAUUAUUAUUUUGGUUUAUUGCCGUUUUGAUUUAGUCACUUAUUGAUUUUGAUCCAUUGCCGUUCUGGUAAAAAAGUGUUGCUGUUUUGACUUAUUGCCAUUUGGGUUUAUUGCCGUUUUGAUUGGAAAGCCACCUUCUGAUGCUGCAUACAGUAUUAUCCUCCCAAUUAAAAAAUUGAUUGCCCUUUUUAUAAUUUGCAAUGUACCUGUAUUACACUCAUUUUAUGUCUUCUAAUUCAACAGAACAUGGUAGAGUAGUGGAAAGUACGUAAGUGAAGUUGAAAAAAAUACCAGAUAAUGAUGGACAUUAGUUGAUAUGAUAAGUUAUGCCAUGAUAAGUGUUGGCACAUCUCACAGAUACGUGUGAAAAUCAUUCAUCCCAUCAACCAUUGUUGGCUAUCAAAGAAGUGAAACCUGUGCUCACAACUACAGAAGGAUGGAUCAGCCCUGGUAAUACAAAUACAAGGAAUGUUUCAAAAAGCAACAAUAUUUGUAAUCAUACGGCAUUACCAAGAAGGCAAAAGCUGUAGAAAGCUCCCACUUCAAUCGGUACAUACUUAACAAAAGAUAAUUGACAAGUUAAAAAGUAAUUAAUUGCUCUGUUUUUGUUUUUUAGUUCACCUUUCUGCAAAGUGCACAUAAUUGAUUUAUUUAUAUUUUCUAAAUUCAGGUU